rnacentral:rRNA from 1 species
GUGGGGAAUAUUGGACAAUGGGCGAAAGCCUGAUCCAGUCAUGCCGCGUGUGUGAAGAAGGUCUUCGGAUUGUAAAGCACUUUAAGUUGGGAGGAAGGGCAGUAAGUUAAUACCUUGCUGUUUUGACGUUACCGACAGAAUAAGCACCGGCUAACUUCGUGCCAGCAGCCGCGGUAAUACGAAGGGUGCAAGCGUUAAUCGGAAUUACUGGGCGUAAAGCGCGCGUAGGUGGUUUUGUAAGUUGGAGGUGAAAUCCCCGGGCUCAACCUGGGAACUGCCUCCAAAACUGCAUGACUAGAGUAAGGUAGAGGGUAGUUGAAUUUCCUGUGUAGCGGUGAAAUGCGUAGAUAUAGGAAGGAACACCAGUGGCGAAGGCGACUACCUGGACUGAUACUGACACUGAGGUGCGAAAGCGUGGGGAGCAAACAGGAUUAGAAACCCUGGUAGUCC